UGAGCAAUCUGCCCUUCACAUCGGGAUAACCCCCGGAAACGGGAGCUAAUACCGGAUACGACCACUUCAGGCAUCUGAUGGUGGUGGAAAGUUCUGGCGGUGAAGGAUGAGCUCGCGGCCUAUCAGCUUGUUGGUGGGGUAACGGCCCACCAAGGCUUCGACGGGUAGCCGGCCUGAGAGGGCGACCGGCCACACUGGGACUGAGACACGGCCCAGACUUCUACGGAAG
rnacentral:rRNA from 1 species